rnacentral:misc_RNA from 2 species
CCGGAAGUCGUUACUCCAACCGCUUGUCGGAGGAGGACGCCGAAGGCAGGGCUGAUGACUGGGGUGAAGUCGUAACAAGGUAGCCGUACCGGAAGGUGUGGCUGGAUCACCUCCUUUACAGGGAGACCUACCCACUCUGUGACUGAAAGCAAAAAGCAAAACGCAAGGUGCAAAUAAGUCUAGAGUCGGUCAUCCCAAGGUCGUUCACAGUAUCUGUUGAGGCUUCCAAGCUGUUGGUUCGGUUCAUGGGCUAUUAACUCAGGUGGUUAGAGCGCACCCCUGAUAAGGGUGAGGUCCCUGGUUCGAGUCCAGGAUGGCCCACCUUACAGAACUGAGGUGCGAAGACUGAAAAAAGAAUGGAUUGAUAGGUCCUUCGGAUUUCGGUACGCACAAUUUCAGGACUGGGAUAUGGGGGUUUAGCUCAGUUGGUAGAGCGCCUGCUUUGCAAGCAGGAUGUCAGCAGUUCGAGUCUGCUAACCUCCAGUGGGUAAAUUGCCCAAAAAGAGUUUGAGAAUCAGUUGAAUUUGAUUACUCAAAGUUAAGUUCCAUUGUUAAUGUAAAACUCUGCACAAGAUUGUAGGGAUAGUAUCAGCAACUAGUCUUGGAUGGACAAGAUAGCCUGCUGGAGUUAUUCCAGUAAAUAGAACCUAGAAAACUGCAUAGUGGGAAAAUGUCAGGUAGAAGCAUUAGUGAAGAAUAAGAUGAGAGGUUGGACGAGAGUUCAAUUAGGAGUCAUGAUUCAACACUAAUGAGAUACAGAAACCAAUGUAGAAAGAUUGCGAAAUCAAGUGGUCAAGCUACAAAGGGCUGAUGGUGGAUACCUAGCACCAAAGGGGGGAAAAA